rnacentral:rRNA from 1 species
GGCCAUACCAUCCUGAAUGUGCCCAAUCUCAUCUGAUUUGAGAAGCUUACCAGAGUCAGGCCUGGUUAGUACUUGAAUGGAAAAAAUAAGUGGAUAAAACCA